rnacentral:rRNA from 1 species
AACGAACGCUGGCGGCAGGCCUAACACAUGCAAGUCGAACGCUGUAGCAAUACAGAGUGGCAGACGGGUGAGUAACGCGUGGGAACGUGCCUUUCGGUUCGGAAUAACUCAGGGAAACUUGAGCUAAUACCGGAUACGCCCUUCGGGGGAAAGAUUUAUUGCCGAAAGAUCGGCCCGCGUCCGAUUAGCUCGUUGGGGUGGUAAUGGCGCACCAAGGCGACGAUCGGUAGCUGGUCUGAGAGGAUGAUCAGCCACACUGGGACUGAGACACGGCCCAGACUCCUACGGGAGGCAGCAGUGGGGAAUAUUGGACAAUGGGCGCAAGCCUGAUCCAGCCAUGCCGCGUGAGUGAUGAAGGCCCUAGGGUUGUAAAGCUCUUUCGCCAGGGACGAUAAUGACGGUACCUGGAUAAGAAGCCCCGGCUAACUUCGUGCCAGCCGCCGCCGUAACAC